UUCUCGUCUCGCUGUUUGCGACUCCUUUUUAUGUCCGUUGCGUAAAUUAUUACUCUUACGUGUACGUAACUUAUUAACUCUUCGUUUCUCUCUCUCGAUUGUUUGUUAUUCCUUGGAGGAAAUUUGAAACAAUUCGAGGCAAAAUAUUAAAAAUACUGUUAUUUUAACAAGCAAAUAUUAUGUAAAUAUAAUCGUUUCAAAAAUCGACGAGAUAAUCUUUUGGAAAUUCGAGUGAUGAAAAUUCGAGCGAAGUAAGACGAAAUGUAAAUUGCAAUAUAAUGUCCAAUUUUUCAAAUUUUGAUUCGCUCGCUCAAGGUUCAUUUAAGCUCUGGAAAGCUCGUUCUUUCGAGUUUCGUUGAGAUAUUUUGAUCGUAAAAUGGAUGGAAAGUAUUUUCGAAAAAGUGGAAAAAAAGAAAAAGUUAAAAAAUAGAAACUCGUCGUUCGAUAAAAUAUACACACGUAUGAAUAUUGAUACAACGAUAUGCGGGAGAUAUGCAGGAUGCAGGGAGUACAGUAGUCUGCUGCGUUUACAACUUUAGCCAUCAGGGAGCCAUCAGGCUGUUCAUUAUUAUCCGACACAAUCGAGGACAAGGAACACGUAGGAUCGAUCGUUUCUCGAUUUCUCUGCAAGCUUGUUACACUAAUUGCGAAAUGAAAACCGAGAAGCUCGUUGAAGAGGGAACGGAUCCUCGUCAGCGUUAAUAGAAAUCUCUGUCGCUUCUUUACCAUCUCCUCCCCCUCUCUCUCCCUGCCAGAAACGUAUUUAUCUUACUCACGGCCGUUAUUUCGUCCGAGAUCCGACCAUUCUGUCCGACAAGCCACCCAAUCAUUUUUCCGAUCGAUUUGCCGAUCAUUCGUACGAACGGACGCCCAUUUCGUGAAAUAGUCGGCGAGGGAUCUUUCAGGGGAAUAAAGGGAAGGAGGGAGGGAGGGAGGGAGGGGGAAAGGCCCGUGUAACGAGCCACUUGUGGGCUCAAUGAAAAUUUCCCUCCUCUCCAUCAUCGUGCGAAUGAUUCUUAAAUCCCGCUUUAAUUUUAAACGAGAAUCAAAUGUAUGUUUAAUUUAAAAAAAAGAUAAAAGAUUUUAUUCGUUUAUUCGAUUCAAUAUUUUUUUUAAUCUUUAUUAUAAAUAUUCGUGAAUCGCAUAUUCCCGAUGAAAUAUCUUAUGAUGUGAUAUCAUAAGAUAAAAAUAAUAUCUUAUUUAUAUUCGUCAAUGCUUGGAAUAUGAAAUAUUUGAAAAUAUUUUAUAUAUUUAUAUCACGUAUAACACGCGACUGAUCGAUGAUAAUCGUGUUCCUAGCGAACCAGGAUUAAUUAUAAUUCAAAAAAUAUCAAACAGUUGAAUAUUAAAUUAUCCGUCGAGUUCUUCGAGACGAUUAAAAUUUGAAAAAUUGAACAUGUGUAUAUCGCAAUCUGUCUCUUACUUUCCUUUCUCAUCGCGAGAAUUUCCAUUUACCGGAACUGAAUUCCACUUUCGAUCAUCCAAGAAAAUUCUCUGGAAUUACGGGAGAGAAAGAGUAUCUCUCCCUCUCUCCUUGCGAGACGAAAUGGUAUUGGAUCGAAUAGCGAGAGUUUGCUCGCGAAUGUUUAUCCGCUCUUUUUCCCCUCCCUUUCCUCUCUUUCAUUAAUUAGUCCAGGAUAAAUACGAGCCGAUUGAAUGGCCUACUCUCCUUUACGCGAGACCCAGACCUUUCUCCCCUAGCCAAAAAGCGACGGGAAAAGCCCUUCAACCGGUAUUUUCUAAUCCAUCGGAACAACCGCGGACUAUUUGACUAGAAAGUAUCCCCGUGAGCUUGAUAAUACCCGGGCUAACAUUAAGGGCGAAGUUUCUUUUUCCUUUUUCUUUUUAGGCGAGGGCGUAUUCUACAUCCCCCGUAUUCAGCGUUAAGCAAGCAAAACACACGCUUCAGAUUUCUUUAUGCUGUUCCAUAAAGGAAAAAAUCUUGUCUCGAUUUCUUCUCGCUUCAGAACUGUCAACGUUGAGAGAAAAUAACAACUUUAUUAUUCGAAAGUUGUACAGUUUCUUCACUUCAAUCAAGCAUCUACUUAUCAUCACAAUUGUCAAAAUAUUCUUAUUAUUUAACAGAGCGAUCAGAAUUCAUCGACAAAAGAAGCGGCAAUGUAGUAUAGAAACUGUAUUCAGAUUUAUAAAUUUCUCGGUUACAUUUCCUCUUUCAGCAUCUCUCUCAUUCUCUCUUCUCGCUAACAAAAUCAUCACAAUUAAGUAAUUGAUCACGUCACAAUUAAAUUUAACCCCGUGACAUUCUCGCGUAACAAAACUAAUAACAGACACGCAAUGGAAAAUCGCAGCAGCAUCUGAUCUUUGCCCAUAUGGCACCCCGAACAGUGUACACGUUUUACGACAAAGCCUUGUCCCCCGAGUAGGAAAUCCUCCGCAAAGAGCGAAUUAUAGGUGGUGGAAUUUCAGUGACAUAAUGUCACUUUGAUCCACCAAAGUUGGUUCGACUGAAUGGAAUGGCCGAACAGAGGCGGAGAAUGAACUCGACGAUAAUGUACGCAGUGCGUAAAACGGAAUACGGCCCCCAUUCUACCCUCUCGCUUCAUCUCUCUAUCCAGCGGAACAGAGACGCGGAAAACUUGACGCGGAGGGGUUGAUCCGGCCGCGGCCAUGUUGCUCGCCGCGGAAAUUUCACAGUCGGACCCCUCGCCGAUAACAGCUUGCACGACAAGUGAACUAACAAAGGGGAGUAAUCUGCGUCGUUACAGCGCCGUGGAAACUCGCCCGCGGAAUUUCUGCCACGGGAUCCCUCCGUAAGCUCCGCUUCCUGUUCAAAGUUUUUUCCAGCUUUGCGGGAUAAGAAGUUGGCGGAAUGUAUAUGUGUGUAUGUACGAGAGAAAGAGUAAAGUAGUAGAGAGAGCGAAAAUUGCGCACAAAGUUGCGUGAAGAAGCGGAGAAUUGUUCCUGUGCAAAGAUCUAUCGCUCGAAAUUUUGGCAAAAACUUUCGAGUUUCGUGUUUUUUCAAUCACCCUUAGAGAUCAAUCUAGACAUCAGAGAAAAGUGAGAGGUACUUUAAUCAAUGAGCGCAGCUCGAUCCUUUUAUAUAUAUAUUCUCAUCCCAUCCCAAAAGGCUUCCUCUUUUCAAAAAUCGGAAGAGACGAUGAAUCGAAGACUCAGACGCGUCCAUCAUCGAUUCCUUUGACGGAUGCAGCGAGAGAAUCAAGGUCACACGAAAAACCGACGUGCACGUGGCAAGGGACGCAUUUCCACGAGGAUGUGAUCGUGCAGAUGGGGCGGUCGGAUGCAGGGGUGAGCUCCGGCGGCCAUGUCGGUUCCCAAUUAAACAAAUGCCCGCUGGAAACUCGAGCAACCCCUCGAGCCAACCUCCCUCCCUCCCUCUCUCUCUCUCCCUUCGCUCAACCGCAGAAGGGGAAUCGGCGGAGCGCACGUGUCGAGCAGCAUGCGAAAUUCGAAUCGAGGCUGGUCUGCUGCUGAUGUGUACGGUUUACGUUCGAGCUAUCUUCCGUCUUUCGACGAAGUGUGUAUGUAUAUGUGUUGCUUGCUUAUAUGUGUUGCACGUUAUAUCGCUGCCACGAUCUUUCGACACACGCGUAUAAUCGCGAGAGUGCGGUUGGAAUUUUUGAUUAACCGGUCUGUAUCGAUAGAGUUUCGCAUUUACGACGGAUCAUUUCGUAUUUUGCCCGAGGUUUGUAAUAAAAUUGGCCAAUUAGCCUUCUUGAUUUAUGGUGAGAAAACGUAGAGUUAUAAAGCUAUAUGCAGUUAUAAAUUUUCUUUUAUAAUUGUUCCUUCGUCUCUUGCAGAAUCGAGUGUUUUCGAUCACGCGAGGUGAAUUCUUUAAAUUUAGUUCAAUCAAAGAAGAAUCUUAUUUUUAUCUUUAAAUUCAAUAGGAAGAAGAUUAAAAUUGUCUCGGUCGGAUCGAUACAAGCGAUGUUUGCGCAAUAUCUGCUGGCACAACAAAGAUUGCUAAUCGAUUUGAAAGAAUGCGAAUAAACGAUGAUCUCUCCGCAAACAAAUCGUGGCAUAGUGGCAUUUGAUGAACAGUUGUUUCGCCAAAUCCGAGAAAGCGAAACGCAAACAUCGAUCUAUGACGCAGAUAACCAUCCUUCUUGCGGCGCAUUCGAAUCAAGGCUGGAAAACGAGAGAUGCGAUAAACUUUUACCUUUGAUCUUGCACGGUAAAAAUUAGAUAAUUCUUCGAAAAUCGUGUCCGAAUCCCGAUUAAAACUCGUAUGCCGACCAAAAGAGAAUUAAAAUAAACUGAAUUUCCACUGAAUUCCCUACUCUCGUCGAAAGAAAUCCUCUUCUGAGAAUAUCGCGUCAGAAAUUUUUGUUCAAUUCACGAAUAUCGAUAUACCUCGGAUUUCGACAAACGGAAUCGUUUCGAAAUAGAUAAUAAAUUUGUUAUUAGUUACAGAGAAUGUUUACAAAGGAUCGAAUGAAUAUUUAAUUGAGAUCUAACCUAUAUAUAAUUUACAUCGUAAAUCUUUUGCAAUCGAAAUUCCACCGCGUCUAGAAAUCUGAUUUUUGAUUUUCAUCUCGUGUCUCGUUUUCCAGGGAAAAGGCGAAUAUAAAUAGAAGGAAAACGAGAGGUUUCAGCACUUUCGACUUGCGAAUUACAUUACGAAUCCAAAUAUUGGAGCGUCUCUAGCAUGCUCGAGGCGAGUCAAACUGUUUGACUUUCCGAUUGUUCUUGCGUUCGGUUUCGUGGUGCAAAGUCUGGCUAGUCAGCAGCCGGACAACGACUGCCUCCGCUAAUCCAGAAAGCGGCUUAAGCAAACGCGAGGAUCCCUUUGGGAAUCUGGGCGCUGAUCAGGAAACCCCGUCGAGAAGAAACGUCCAUCGAAAAUCCCUUAUCUGAAAAUACGUUAUAGUUAUAUGGAAUUACGUUCGAUUGCGAUAUUCUACUGAAAACAAUAUUUUUAGAAGAAUGAAUAAAAAAAAAAAGAUAAUAAUAAAAUUAAAAUUGUUAUUGAAUGCA